rnacentral:lncRNA from 1 species
CCACAAGGUAUUUCUGCUGCAGUCAAACCCAGGAGAUGCCUCAGCAUCAUAAACUUGCUCUGGGAUGAUCUUGUCCCAGCAGUGUGUCCUGAUUCAAGCUUGUCCUUUCUGUGCUCAUUGCUUGUGGUCUUGCAAGAAUGCCACAGGCAUUUUGUGAAUUUCCAGCCUGUCCUGGAAGGAAAUGGUACCACCUAGAAGCUCUGUGUCCCACAGUGAGGAAAGUUAAUAAAUAAAUAAAUAAAUAAGAGAAAGAGAGAGAG